GGAGAAGAGGCUUUAGUAUGGAGGAGACUCAUGGAAGAUCUUCUCAUUCUCUACAACUACUUGAGUGGAGAUUGUAGCAAGUUCUUCUCAGCUGUUUCAGGAGUUGCUGUUUAUCCCUGGGUGCCAGAGGGAUGGGCAAAAUAAGGACAAGAAUUUCCUGCUUCAAUGGUACACACACUGCAGCAUAUGUACCAGAAUACGCAGGAACAAGUGAUACAAGACUCCCCGCCUUUUACCAAUCACUGUCCGCAAACAUUAUAAUGAAAAAUUCUAGCCAUUUUCCCAUCUCAGAGCAUUCUUCAUGAUAGCUAGCAUAAGAGAGAGAUUACGGAGACAGUGGAUGCAUCAGUCUAAUAUUUUUAAGAGACAAACUUUGCAAAAUGUUAUUGAUUAAAAUGCUCUUGAUGAAAUGA